UCUGCAGUAGGGUGUAAGUACAGAUAAGCUAUCACCUCAGA
rfam:Canis lupus familiaris cont3.2783, whole genome shotgun sequence.